rnacentral:rRNA from 1 species
ACGAACGCUGGCGGCGUGCCUAACACAUGCCAGUCGAACGGUAAGGCCCCUUCGGGGGUACACGAGUGGCGAACGGGUGAGUAACACGUGAGCAACCUGCCCUUGACUCUGGAAUAACAGUUGGAAACAGCUGCUAAUACUGGAUAUUCAUCGUCUCCUUCCUGGGGGGUGGUGGAAAGCUCCGGCGGUCAGGGAUGGGCUCGCGGCCUAUCAGCUUGUUGGUGAGGUAAUGGCUCACCAAGGCUUCGACGGGUAGCCGGCCUGAGAGGGCGACCGGCCACACUGGGACUGAGAUACGGCCCAGACUCCUACGGGAGGCAGCAGUGGGGAAUAUUGCACAAUGGGCGCAAGCCUGAUGCAGCAACGCCGCGUGCGGGAUGACGGCCUUCGGGUUGUAAACCGCUUUCAGUAGGGACGAAGGGUGACUGACGGUACCUACAGAAGAAGGACCGGCUAACUACGUG